CUCAUACUGCACAUUGACGCUUUGCUUUCCGGAAUUGUUUCAAAGAUUCGCCAAAUAUGAAAUAAUGUAUCUAGAAGAAAGCGUUAACAAGAUUGCAAGAUUUCGAAAAUAAAUCAAUUUGGAAGCAAUAAAACAUUGAUAUUAGAACGUGAUAUAUACGACUGUGAAAAUAGUAUUCACGAUAAUGUCUUUUCCCAUACACUACUCUUAGGACUAGCUUGUGUACCACUUAGUAUUAUUCUCCCGCUGACCGUUAAAUACACGGGUUACAAAAUUUAUUUAAUAAUUUGUACUAUAGUAACCAUCGACUUUUUCUUUAUAAGAUCAUCGACACAAAAUCUUAUACUUUCUUGCAUUUUUGAAGCGUUAACUUCUAUAUGCAUGAGUAUUAUCUUCCGUAUGAUCGUCGACCUGUUUCCUACCAAUUUAAGAAUGAUGACAGCUGCCCUAGCUGCAUUUUGUGCAUGUUUAGGAUCGUUUGCAG